AUGGCCCCCGGGAGGAGGGGUCUCAGAGGAGCUGCCCGCCCUGCCCUCUCGGGCCCCCAGGGCUGCAGGAGGAGGUGGGUGGCGCACCGGGGCCGUGUCUCUGCUGUGGAUCUCUCCUGGGCCAGAGCCUGGGAUCUGAGCGCAGCUCCUCCAGCUCCGGCUGCUGUGUCCGCGUGCUGCCUGCGGGGUGGCAGGGCAAGGUCCUGGGGCACAUGGGGGGGGGCGGCGGCACAGCCUGGUUCCUCUCUCCACAUCACUGGGGCGGCACCAAGCUCCUCUGUCUUCCUGCCCCCAGGUCCUGUGGGAUUCAACAGAGGGACCCAGCCCUGCCACCUCCCAGCCCCUGCCUGCCAGUGGGGAGGGCACUGCGCAUCCUCCUGUGCCCCCUCCCCCACUGGCUCCCUUCCAGCACUUUCCGGGCCCAGGCUCUCAGCGGGGCUGCCUGAACAUCCUCCCCGUGGGGCCAGGGUAUUGCUCCAGGUGUUUCCUGCCGGCUCCCAGUCCCUCAGCGCCCAGCCCUCCUGUGUCCGCCCUGGUCCCUCCCUCUGCUGAGGGACACUGUGGUGCCACUGCCCUGGGGCCAGCGGCCAGGUGGGAGCUGCCACCUACGUCCCCAGAGACCCCUGUCAGCUCCCCCAAGAGCCACGGACCAGGAGUGGGGCUUCCUGACUCCUGAGGGCCGGGACGAGCCGGCACAGGAACGGCCAGCCUGGGCCUGCACAGACCCCACCCCACGCUUGUGGCCCCAAUAGUGCUCAGAGAGCAACAUGGCGUGGCCCUGGCCCAGGGUGGACAGGCGGAGCUCUGGGCUGCAGGGGACAGCCCAGCAGGACAGGCAGGAGGCUGGGGUGCGGGAGCAGGGCCGCCUUCCCCCGCUUCCUCCUGCGGGUGUGGACCCUUGUCUGUUCCAGGCGUUCUGUCCAAUGGCAGAGGCUCAGAGUGGCUGACCUGCCUGAUGGCAGAACUGUAGAACAGCUGAGACAGAAAGGACCCGAGGGAAAUCUGGCCGCUGUCCUCCCAGGGUGCAGCUGAGACAGGCCCAGGGCCCGUGUGGCAUUUGUUAACUGAGC
rnacentral:lncRNA from 1 species